CCACUGGAAGGGAAGAGCAGCUUCAUCAGCCGGAGAGUAGCAGCCAUGUUAGUCUGUAUUCGCCCAAAAAAAAAAAAAAAAAAAAGGACUUGUGGCACCUUAGAGAGAGGAUGGCCAGGGACUGCCCUCCUCUGGGACAGGCCAAACUGGGGGCGGGUGGGAGCGUGGGCCCCAUGUCCUACCCCCUCCCAGUCUACAGCUCCAAGCAGAAGCGCUGCCCCCCGGUGAUUGAGCACGGGGACAGCGCCCUCCUCUGGUUCCGCAGCUGGCUGAGGAGUACCUGCCAGAGCAUUGGGGAGCAGGACCUCAGCUGAGCAGUGCUACUGGUUGCCCCAGUGCAUGCUGGGAUCGGGACUCCUGCCCCAUGGUGUCCUCACUGCCAGCUACCCCCAGUGUUGGGGGGGGCAGUCCUCUCUGAUUGGACAGUUCUGCUUACUCUGCACUUGAUUGGCUGGGCCAGCACCUCAAGGAGUCCAAUUGGCUGGCAGGAUGUGCUCCUGGGAAAUGUCACCUGCAGCUGAAUGCAGUCCCCUCACUGGGUGGCAUGUUUGAGGCCUGUGCCCCCUCUUCUCUCAUUGGCCGAGUCUGCUAGCUCCAGAGAGGUGCAGUUUGUGAUUGGAUGGGGCCACCCUCACCUGUGCUGGCCUGUGAUGCACCCCUGGGUCCUCCCUUGUCUGUGAUUGGAUGACUCCAUACACCCAUGAGCCUCUGACUGGUUGGUAUAGCCAGCACCAGCCACCCCACUAGAGGUGCCUUCAGCAUGUGAUUGACAGCUGUCCGGGGGGCACUGUUAUCACUGAACCCCCUCCCAGGAGUCGGGGCUAUGAGGGCCUCCCCA